GUACUGAAGUUAACACAUUAAGUACUCCGCCUGAGUAGUACGUCACGCAGUAUCGAAACUUAAAGGAAUUGACGGGUCCCGCAAGGAUCAUGUUGUUUAAUUCGAAGAUACACGAAAAACCUUACCAGGUCUUGACAUUAUCCUGCGAAGCUAUAGAAAUAUAGAGGGAGGUUAUCAGGAUAACAGGUGGUGCAUGGUUGUCGUCAGCUCGUGUCGUGAGAUGUUAGGUUAAGUCCUAAAACGAGCGCAACCCUUGUCGUUAGUUACCAGCACGUUAUGGUGGGGACUUUAGCGAGACUGCCAAUGAAAAAAUUGGAGGAAGGUGAGGAUUACGUCAAAUCAUCAUGCCCCUUAUGAUCUGGGCUACAAACGUGAUACAAUGGCUAUUACAAAGAGCAGCUGAAACGUGAGUUGUUAGCUAAUCUCAAAAAAAUAGUCUCAGUUCGGAUUGAAGUCUGCAACUCGACUUCAUGAAGUUGGAAUCGCUAGUAAUCGCGAAUCAGCAUGUCGCGGUGAAUACGUUCUCGGGGUUUGUACACACCGCCCGUCAAACCAUGAAAGUUGACAAUACCCAAAACCAGUCGCUUAACUACUUCGGUAGAGGGAGACUGUCUAAGGUAGGGUCGAGUGAUUGGGGUUAAGUCGUAACAAGGUAUCCCUACCGGAAGGUGGGGAUGGAUCACCUCCUUUCUAAGGAAAUGUCGUAUCAUGAUCAUCUUCAGUUUUGAAAGACUUAGAGUAGAUAAGUUUUUCUUUUGGCGUAGAGGAAGGGCCUAUAGCUCAGUUGGUAGAGCACACGCUUGAUAAGCGUGCGGUCAAUGGUUCAAGUCCAUUUAGGCCCACCAUACCACAUUCU
rnacentral:rRNA from 1 species